ensembl:lncRNA
GAGAAGAAUCAGGGAGGUGAGGACGAACCAGCAGAGCAAAGGAGGAAGAACAGUCAGGAGACAGGCUGGGAACCAAGACAAAAAAGCAUCUAAGACUCCAAAGGAAGGGAGGGUUUCAUACAAAGGCAGUAAUAACUUUGUCAAAUUCUUCUGAAGAGAUGAAAGAGCCAGAGCAGAUUAAUGAAGAUUCUCAUCCAGUGGUUCAUGGUCCUGGCUGUACAUAUGACUGACUAAUGCCCAAGACCCCCUCUUCCCCUUCCCAGGGAUUCUGAGUCUUUCAGUCUGAGUUGGCAAAGCAGACCUGGCUGCAUUUCAGAUGCACAGAGUUGGAUUGAUAUCAUCAAUCAUCUUCGGCUGCCUUGGGGAACAUCACCUUCAUCAAUUAAUCCAUGGUCCCUCUUUAUGAAGUUUAGAUUCUUGGUUAGUUCCCUUCCUUUCAGAUCCUUGUACUUUUAAAG